CCUACGGGAGGCAGCAGUGGGGAAUAUUGCACAAUGGGGGAAACCCUGAUGCAGCGACGCCGCGUGAGCGAAGAAGUAUUUCGGUAUGUAAAGCUCUAUCAGCAGGGAAGAAAAAUGACGGUACCUGAGUAAGAAGCACCGGCUAAAUACGUGCCAGCAGCCGCGGUAAUACGUAUGGUGCAAGCGUUAUCCGGAUUUACUGGGUGUAAAGGGAGCGCAGGCGGUGCGGCAAGUCUGGUGUGAAAGCCCGGG
rnacentral:rRNA from 1 species